AAUUACUACGGUUAUCCGAG
rnacentral:misc_RNA from 1 species